GGCCUUGACAUACUAAGAACUUUCCAGAGAUGGAUUGGUGCCUUCGGGAACUUAGAUACAGGUGCUGCAUGGCUGUCGUCAGCUCGUGUCGUGAGAUGUUGGGUUAAGUUCCGCAACGAGCGCAACCUUUUCCUAUUUGCCAGCGGGUCAUGCCGGGAACUUUAAGGAUACUGCCAGUGACAAACUGGAGGAAGGCGGGGACGACGUCAAGUCAUCAUGGCCCUUACGGCCAGGGCUACACACGUGCUACAAUGGUCGGUACAAAGGGUUGCUACCUCGCGAGAGGAUGCUAAUCUCAAAAAGCCGAUCGUAGUCCGGAUCGCAGUCUGCAACUCGACUGCGUGAAGUCGGAAUCGCUAGUAAUCGCGGAUCAGAAUGCCGCGGUGAAUACGUUCCCGGGCCUUGUACACACCGCCCGUCACACCAUGGGAGUUUGUUGCACCAGAAGUAGGUAGUCUAACCGCAAGGAGGACGCUUACCACGGUGUGGCCGAUGACUGGGGUGAAGUCGUAACAAGGUAGGCGUAGAUGA
rnacentral:rRNA from 1 species